rnacentral:rRNA from 1 species
GAUGAACGCUGGCGGCGUGCCUAAUACAUGCAAGUCGAGCGAACGGACGAGAAGCUUGCUUCUCUGAUGUUAGCGGCGGACGGGUGAGUAACACGUGGAUAACCUACCUAUCAGACUGGGAUCACUUCGGGAAACCGGAGCUAAUACCGGAUGAUCUUUUGAACCGCAUGGUUCAAAAGUGAAAGACGGUCUUGCUGUCACUUAUAGCUGGAUCCGCGCUGCAUUAGCUAGUUGGUAAGGUAACGGCUUACCAAGGCAACGAUGCAUAGCCGACCUGAGAGGGUGAUCGGCCACACUGGAACUGAGACGCGGUCCAGACUCCUACGGGAGGCAGCAGUAGGGAAUCUUCCGCAAUGGGCGAAAGCCUGACGGAGCAACGCCGCGUGAGUGACGAAGGUCUUCGGAUCGUAAAACUCUGUUAUUAGGGAAGAACAGAUGUGUAAGUAACUGUGCACAUCUUGACGGUACCUAAUCAGAAAGCCACGGCUAACUACGUG